UUGAGUUGUCGCUGAGUGCUCAGUCGAGAUGCAAAAUACGUUAAUUCAGUUUUCCAUAACUCCUAAAUACUCGAAAUGAAAGGCUAAUAUAACAGUAACAAUGGUCACAGUUAGCGAUUUUCUUCUGAUUUGGGCAACCCUCUGUCUUCCUGGUAAGUACACCAGUUGACCUCAUACAACUAACGCAGCUUGACAAUAUCACCAAUGUAGACUAUCAAAUCUUUGUGAUUAGAAGUUAACCAACGCGAUACUAACUAUUGGUUUAUCUUUCUAUAGAGUACGCACAGGGAAGGAACGUUAUUGCGUGGCAGAUGCCAAACAUGACUGUUACCAAGGGCGCAAAUGCAAGCAUAACCUGUUCUGUUUAUGCUCCAGAAAUGUACAACACGACUGUAUAUGUAAAAUGGGAAAAACAGAACAAGUCCUAUUUAGCCGAGGAGAAAAUAUAUAGUCCCGAGUCAAAUAAUUCAUUUGUUUUACAUCUUUACUCAUUACAACUGAAUGACAGUGGGUGGUAUAGGUGUAAUGUGCGCUUCCAUAUCCCAAAGCUCUAUAUAGAAUCUGCAAACGGAACCUAUCUCACAGUGGUUGGUAAGACAAAAAUACAAUUUACCAUAAUUACUUACUGUAUGAACAUAUUUGAUACUUUUGCUGCAGCACUUGAAAUGUUUAUUGUAGGCUAUAUGCAUAGAUCAGGCAUAUUUGCUUAUUAGGUCUAUUUGCUGUAUUGUAAACACCCAUGUUCUUGACCUUCCAUGGGUUUUAUCGGAUGAAGCUGAGGAAGCUGCAGAACCUGAGAUACUUGAGAUAUUGCCAAUGAAUACAGGCCUAUGGCUUUCAGUCGGUGGUGUACUCGUUGUUCUGCUCAUCGGAGGAAUUGCCAUGGUCUUCAGAAGAUUUAAAAGAGACGAGCAGCACAGAGAGCAAAUAACAGAAAAUAUCCCACAAGUUGUCCAUCUAGAAUCAGCAACUCAGGACACAGAGGAAAUUACAUAUGCUUCGAUAAACAAGCAACAGCUUAGCUGCAGAAAAAAUCAACAGAAAAUUCCAGAGCAAGAAAAGAUGACAAACAGAACACACAGCCCAGAUGCCACUGUUGAGGAGUCGGUGCUCUAUUCUCCUAUAAGGACAAAACAAAACAGGUAGACUAGAUGAAACGUAAAUGCAUGGACAUGAAGUGAAAGUCUAGUAGCUACACUAGUAGACACUAGUCUAGUAGACACUUUUUCUAGAUGUAAAAGUGUGAGCACAUCUGCCCAACAGACAGACAUUACUGUGGGAGGCUGGGAGCUGUGAGUGGUAGGUGGGCACCAGACUGCUGCAUGCAAAGGUGCCCAUCUUCCAAAAACCCACGCGUGUGACAAGUGCCAAACCACAAGCGAGUUGUUGCAUUCGUCAAAGAAAUACAUAUGAGUGAUUGAUUACCUUAUACAACCUUAUGUGUGUAGUCUGCAAGUCUUUUGACUUAACUUUUGCCCAUCAUGAACAACUUUGUUUUUGUUACUUCUCUGUUUUUUAAUAUCUUAAAUUAUGAGUAUUACAGGGUGUAAACUUGUGUUGUACAUCACAGCAAUAGCAUAAAGAGGUGUGAUUUUAUUAAAAAAAAAAAAAAAAAAAGAAACGUCAGUGGCGCAUGGAUGUACUGGGAGUUUCCAGUUGUCUGAAAGGAUACCUGAAACUGUCGCUGAUAACUGUCAUCUGCCAUCAGAGGGUUCCAUCAGACUGUUGACUCAUGACUGAUUUCACAUGUCUUAA